ACCGAUUCACCGGAGCUAUGGGAACCGGCUCGCGGAACAAGCUCGUGGCAAUCGUUUCUGCAUCGUCGUUUGUGCUGGUCGCUUUAUCGUUUGUGCAGACUUAUCAACCCGAGAUAGCAGAGGACAAUUUUCUUACCAUGGCCGCAACUAUUGACGCCCAGUUCGUGCAGCAGUCGAACGAUUUCGCCGUUCAGCUCUACAAGCAAGUGAGUGCAAAGAAUGCUGGACAAAAUGUGGUCAUUUCCCCGCUAUCGAUCAGUGGUUGCCUUUCGUUGGCCGCCAUGGGUGCCGGUGGAUUAACGGCUGAAGAAUUGUUCGCCGGAUUGCGCUACGGAAAGGCUGACCAAAGGCAGCAGGUUGCCGAAUCGUACGGACGGCUUAUGCAGCGUCUGGCAUCCGAUAAAACCCUCGCCAUGGCCAACAAACUGUUCGUGAAGGAGGGUUAUAAGGUGAAAAGUUCCUUCAAUGAGGUAGCUACCGGCAGCUUCCAGUCCGAAGCCCAGGCCCUCAAUUUCGCCCAGAAUGUGGAGUCCGCCAAGACGAUCAAUGAUUGGGUGGAAGGAAAGACGAACAACAAAAUCAAGGAUCUGAUCGCACCCGACAUGCUAGACGAUCUGACCCGUAUGGUGCUGGUCAAUGCGGUGUACUUUAAAGGUACAUGGACGUAUCAGUUCGAUCCGGCCCGUACCCGCCCGAUGCCAUUCUGGAUCAGUGCUACCGAAUCACUGGACGUGCCGAUGAUGAACAUCAAGAAGCACUUCGGGUACAAUAACUUUGAAGAUAAAGGAUUCUCCGCCCUGGAGCUUACCUACAAUGGAAGCGACGUCACGAUGCUGGUGCUGCUACCGAACGAGCGCGAUGGAUUGGCCGCGUUGGAAGAAAAACUACCGAGCCUCAACCUGGCCGAGAUUACCUCACAGUUGUAUAAGCAAGAGGUCGAAGUAUUUCUCCCCAAAUUCAAGAUCGAAUUCUCGCUCGAUCUUAACGACGAUUUGACGGAGCUCGGCAUGGGCCGAAUGUUCACCGAUUCGGCCGAGUUUCCUGAGCUUUUGGAAGGAAACGAACCGCUCAAGGUUUCGAAGGUCGUCCACAAGGCGUUCAUUGAGGUGAAUGAAGAAGGAACCGAAGCAGCAGCCGCUACCGCUGCUGUUGUGCGUGUGAGGCGAGCCCUCAUUCACAGAUUAAAAUUGAUCGUUGAUCAUCCGUUCUUGUACGUUCUGUUGACCGGGAAUAGCGCUACACGGCAAGCGGUAUUUGUCGGGCGUAUGGCAGUCCCCGAUUCGACCGUGGCGGCAGCCAAGAACCGAGAUGAGUUGUAGAGUUCAGGGAUGCGCCCUCUACCCCACUCUCUUCCUCUCUCCCUCUCUCUCUCUCUAUCACUCUCUGUGUAGUGCAUAGGGUUUCAUUUGAACGUAGGACCAUUGAUAUCGCUUAUGCUCGUUCCGUGCCUGCAUGAUUAUGAUGUUGCGCUGCCUGCCGAUGCAUCCUUACUUCACGGCCGACCAUCCGUUUGUCUACUUUCUGAGGCACCAGCAACAGAUCUACUUUGCGGGCCGUAUGGCG